UACGAAGGGGGCUAGCGUUGUUCGGAAUUACUGGGCGUAAAGGGCGCGUAGGCGGUCCUUCAAGUCAGGCGUGAAAGCCCCGGGCUCAACCUGGGAACCGCGCUUGAGACUGGAGAACUAGAGUUCGGGAGAGGAUGGUGGAAUUCCCAGUGUAGAGGUGAAAUUCGUAGAUAUUGGGAAGAACACCGAUGGCGAAGGCAGCCAUCUGGACCGACACUGACGCUGAGGCGCGAAGGCGUGGGGAGCAAACAGG
rnacentral:rRNA from 1 species